rnacentral:lncRNA from 1 species
AACCGCGCCACCGAGCGCGGAGCUGCCCUGGAGGACGCAGGCGGGUCUAGUUGCCCGGGUCCCCCAAGGCCCCCGGAUUCACCCAGGCCCGCGACUCCGACGUGCAGCUUAGGAUGUCAGAGGAUGGGAGAACCUCACAGACAUUCUUUUAUGGAUGAGAACCCUGUGGCCAGCUGAUCUGAGUAAACUGGCUUGCCUAACCACACAGUGCAGAUCUGGUCUUCUGACCCCGGGGGCUUUCCUUCCAUCACCAGGCUUUCUCCUACUCCCAAUGAAGGAAAGUAAGACUGGGUGGUAAAUCCAUCAAAUGAAUGAUUAAUUAAUCCAUCCAUAAGCACUCAAAAAUGUUCUGCAUGUACACAAAGUGCAGAAAAGUGCAAAACUGCACAAAAACUGCACACAAAGUAUAGAAAAUACUUUGCAGUUUGGGGAACUCAUUGUUCUUAGGCAGAAAUAUCCUGAUGGUUAGUCCUUGAAAUAGACAGACAAGGAGACACGUAGAAGAGUUUGAAUUCCCUUUGCAUAACCAGUGAUGAAAUGUGGUUGAUGAGAAGUCUGAAAAUAACUGCGGAGAUGUUUCAGCCCUUCCACUGUACUUUUAUAGUACUUGCUGCCAAUUUUACCGACUCAUUUUCAUUGAGAACUUCACUUAAUCUCACUUGUGUGUUUACCUGUUAAUCUUUCCUGUUGGAUUGGGUUUUUUGUCUGUUUUUUUCCUCUCUCAACCCUUUCCACAAUUAUCAGCACAUAAUAGGCACUUAAUACCUUUUGAGUCAAUGAAUACUUUAUAAAACUAUGAGUGCAACCAAAUAUUUCACUGGUGUUCAAGAGAUGAAAUCUGUCACUGAAAACUCUUUCUAGGGGCCAGGCAGUGAGUGUUUCAUGAUGCUGAGAUUGGUAAGAAAAUACAAAUCCAUCAUGACUGGAAAGGCACCACUCGACCGCAAGUUCUAGCAGUCUAACCAGUGAUUAGCUAUCUCUGCACCACCAGAAAAUCUCACCAGGAGGAGAGAUAGCUGAGAAGCAGAAACCAGAUACAGAAGUUUGGAAACUAGCUAGCAUUUUUUUAAAAGACUGGAUUCUACGAUGAUUCAGAAUAUACUUCAUCAUGCGAUGAGGUUGUUGAUAGUUUUCCUUGCAUACAGAGGCUGAAUAACUUUUUAAAACAAAUUCCUCAAAAUGUUUAUUUCCCAGGAAAGAGAUAGGUUAAGAUACAUGAUAGCAAGUAAAAUUGAGAAUAAUUCAGAGAAACUUAUUUUAUGCAUAUGAAAUGGUAAAAAGAGCAAUGAAACCAUUACCCAAAAUUCAGGUAAAAGGCAAAGUAUGAGAAAAGGCCAGAGGGAAUUAGGAGUUAGUAGGAACACAGAGUUCUGGAGGAAAAGGAAAAAAGUGACUCAGCAGAACCUAAGAAACAUCUGGCUGGGUAUAGUUAGUCAUGGAAAAAUUGGCAGUCAUGAUUAUGCAUUUUGUGAAAAUAGCAAUAUACUAGUCCAACAGUUCAUUUAGACCAAAAUUAAACAGUUGAAAGUCAGUAUGAUAAAAUCUAUUAUCCUGGUCAUUCAAAAUACUUCUAUCAACUGUCUAGAACAGCUUACAAGAAGCUUUGCUAAAUGAGUUAUCACAUAGCACCAGUAUUCUGAAAAAUGUAACUUUAGAGAAAAACCUUCCAAUUCAAGUCUUAGACUGGGAUUGGUAUUUUCAGCAGACAUCUAUUUUUAUAAACGUAAAGCUUAUCAAACUACCUUUCAACUUUCAUUUUGAUGAACAGUAAAUAUUAUUUUAUUAUCUACAUACAAUGGUGACAAAAUAGAUAAAUAAUAAAUAUGAAUUGUGGGUAUUAUUUUAGUAACAAAAAGUCAUUUAAAAUGAAAACCCUUAACCUAUGUUCUUAUUAAUAUAAUAUUUAUGUGAUUUAAAAUUUUGUAUAUGGUAUCAUUUACUUAAGCAUCUCUUAAUUCCUCAUUUCUGUAACUCUUUAUACCUGACAUAUGUACUAAAUUUGAUGAACAGAAAUUCAUUCAUUCAACAAAUGCUUGAAUGUCCACCAGAUACUGGGUUCUUUGCUAGACUCUGGAUGUACAGAGUAAAACAAAGAAGUCCCUUUCCUGUUAAACAUAUCAUCAUUCCUACUUAUGUCCAGAUUUUAUGUUUGUUUGUUUGUUUUUUGAGACAGAGUUUCGCUCUUGUUGCCCCAGGCUGGAGUGCAAUGGCACAAUCUCGGCUCACUGCAACUCCACCUCCCAGGUUCAAAGCAAUUCUCCUGCCUCAGCCUCCUGAGUAACUGGGAUUACAGGCAUGUGCCACCAUGCCCAGCUAAUUUUGUAUUUUUAGUACAUACAGGUUUAUCUAUGUUGGUCAGGCUGGUCUCAAACUCCCGACCUCAGGUGAUCCGCCUGCCUCUGCCCCCCAAAGUGCCGGGAUUACAGGUGUGAACCACCAUGCCCGGCAGAUUUUAUGGUUUGAAUGAUUUUCUGUCAGCAUUUGAAUUGGAUAUAAAACAAUCUUAACAGUGUUGUUUAUUUACAAAUUUCAUUCUGUCCUCCCCCCAAAAAGAUUUAGGUGUGUCAUGAUCAGUUCAUCAAAUAGGUAUCUUUAACUCAGAAAAUGACUUACAGGUUUAAAAUAUACAUUCUCUAUCAGUUUGAACGUAUUGAUGAACUCUCAAAGUUUUGAAUAUGGAAAAAAUAUAUGAAGCUCAACAAGAAAGACAGCUUUAUAAAAAGGCAAGUCUAGCAGAAAAGAUAACCAAGUAGGAGGAGAUUCCUCACGUAAGGAAAAAAACAAGUAAAAUAAUCAGCUUAAAAGCAUGUGUGCAAGAUAUUUCAUUGUUAUUUUUAUGUUUGUUUGUUGACAUUUUAUAGCCUAGUUAACAGAUGCUCCAAAUUUUGAGCCUGUAACCCUUCCAAUCCCUUGCUGCCUUUGAUGGUGAUGCUCCAUCCUAUUAUACCAACUCCACAUUGAAGCAGAACUCUCAAGACAGAGAUGGGGAGGGAUGGAUGGGCUGUGAGGCCCCCCAGCCAAGAAGCUGGAAGAACUUUCUCGAAUCCUGCAGAGCUGCUCAGGGGCCUGCCUUGUAUCUGCCUGGCUGUUCCAGGGAGGUUGGAAGACAAACUGAAGGCUUUCCAUUGCUGAACAUCAGACCUCAGAAGUACUGACUGGAGGGCUCCCAAGCUGGCUCAGAUCAGCCUCAUAUUGCCCCGAACAGUAUCAUCACCGCUUUGCCCUGGUGGGGAAACUACUCUUUACCCUCUGUAUGAACCUAUGAAGCACGCAGGUCACUGGGGCAAUUUCUGAGUUUGAAGUUGCUUGGAUUUGCCAUUGCUGCUAUGUUGAAGGGAAGGGAGUGCUUUUGAAGAAAAUGUUCAUCUCUAGUUCCAGUAACAGGCAUGGAAUUGACACAUAACAGGUGUUUGUUGAAUUGAGCUGAAUAAAUUAGAAUCUGGGGCAAAAUAUAGUUGUUCUUUAUAGUCCUAAGUCUAUUAAUAAAGCAGAUAUAUCCUUAUUACAUGUUUUACUGCCAUAAAUGUGUCUACCAGAACUAGGAAUAAUGACAGACGGAAGGGUUGAGGAUUCUUUCUGACGAUAACCUGCCAGGACACCCGCUUCCUCCCUCCCUGUCCAGAUGGGGUGGACUACAGUGCUCUGGCUCACACCAGGGGUGGAGGUAUUCCCAUUAUUUGUCUGUUUUGUUGUCUGUAGUGCUUAGUCAGAAUGCUGCCUGAUACAUUGCAGGGGUUCAAUGACUUUCUGUGGAAUGAAUGAACAGACAGAUGGUUACUUACCCCAGGGACAUAAGAGCCUCACAUAGCUGCAGCGUGAGCAGUGCCCUCUGCAGUCCUGGACCCAGAUGCAUAGAGGCCGAGAUGUUCAGCCUUCCACCCCAUGGCCAUCCCGGAGCCUGGGGCUGACUCUGUCUGGUUUGGCUGCU